rnacentral:rRNA from 1 species
CCUACGGGGGGCAGCAGUGGGGAAUAUUGCACAAUGGGCGCAAGCCUGAUGCAGCCAUGCCGCGUGUGUGAAGAAGGCCUUCGGGUUGUAAAGCACUUUCAGCGGGGAGGAAGGCGUUAAGGUUAAUAACCUUGGCGAUUGACGUUACCCGCAGAAGAAGCACCGGCUAACUCCGUGCCAGCAGCCGCGGUAAUACGGAGGGUGCAAGCGUUAAUCGGAAUUACUGGGCGUAAAGCGCACGCAGGCGGUCUGUCAAGUCGGAUGUGAAAUCCCCGGGCUCAACCUGGGAACUGCAUUCGAAACUGGCAGGCUAGAGUCUUGUAGAGGGGGGGAGAAUUCCAGGUGUAGCGGUGAAAUGCGUAGAGAUCUGAGGAAUACCGGUGGCGAAGGCGGCCCCCUGGACAAAGACUGACGCUCAGGUGCGAAAGCGUGGGGAGCAAACAGGAUUAGAUACCCGAGUAGUC